GACCUCGCAAGGACCUUUACGACCUUAGUUCGAUUUUAGUUCGACUUCAGUCGACCUUUCUCGACUUAGGUCGGCUAAGUUGAGAAGACCUAUACUCGACCAGCUAGACCCGUAUAUCGACCUAAUUUCGAAUUAAUUUCGUCCUAAGUAGACCGGCCCGACUUCACCGCGACCUGUGUUCAACGGGAGCGACUGGUUCUCGAAGGAAAUUCCGUUUUUCGGCCGAGUAGACCCUUGGUUUCCAAACUGUAUAAAUUACAGGGUGCAUUGUCACCAGGUACCCAUUCAAUUAGAGGACUGCAAAGUAGUAACAUCACCAUCAGGAACCUUGACGUAUACCUGGUGAGCCCCGAGAAGUGAAGACUGCUUACCAUUUGGGUGCAGAUAGCCUGGCACCUGCUUGAACUGGUGGAUGACCUGAAGAAUGCCAACCCUCCUCCAAAGCCAAAGCCUCAGCCGUAAGCACAUCAAUCCUAUCAUUGAAGCCUUCAAAGCUGAGUAUUGGUCAGAUGAGUGGGAUCAGAGUAGAUGGAAUACCGUAGCCCGUGCUUUCAAGGAAAGGUGGCAAUUUCCAUAUUGCACCGGUGCGUUUGAUGGCAAGCACAUACGCAUCAAGAAGCCCCCCCAAAAGCGGGUCCCUCUUCUACCACUACAAGAACUUCUUUUCUAUUGUCUUGCUGGCACUCGCGGAUGCCGACUACAAGUUCCCGUGGGUCAACGUCGGGGCCAAGGGAUCAGCAUCAUACGCUGAUGGUGUUCAACCAUUCACGAGAUCGGAUGGAGGGCGAUGACCUUGUAUUCCCCGUAUGGUGUGCCAUACUUCAUCAUCGGAGACGAUGCCUUUCCACUCCGCCCCUGGAUGAUGAGGUCCUUUUCCAUGCGUCAGAUGGACCCCGAUCAGCAGAUCUUCAACUGCAGACUGUCUAGGGCCAGACGAGUGGUGGAGAAUACCUUCGGGAUUCUGGCUAUGAGGUUCCAGAUCUUCCUCGGCUCCCUAAACAGAUAUCCCAGGCCUGCGUCACUUUACACAACAUGCUGAGAACGAGGAACCGGAACAGUCAGAUGAACCUAAUAGACCGGGGAAUGGGGACUGUUCACUCACCCCAGGCAAGUGGCGCUCCUACACACAGCUGCUUGAUGGGGAUAACCGGG